rnacentral:lncRNA from 1 species
CAGCCAGAAACUGAAGGAAAAGGACGCCUCGUUACUUGAGCUUGGAGCAUUUCCCCAUUGAAUUCCUCAAAGCCCUUUGCCUCCCUCUCCAGGGACCAAGUGGGUCACAGGUUGCUGAGAGAAGGAUUCAAAUUGAGGUCCUGUGAAGCUCACCCCUCCCCUGCACACAGAUUUCUACCUUUUCUUGAAGCUGCUUUGAAUUGGUUUGCAUUUUGGGAACCAGAUGACCCCUAGGAUAGAAGACAAGGAACGCUGCUGCACUGACCGUGUUGUGGGGCCGCCCCUUGACUCCCUCCCUGAGCUUCCCCGUGGGCUGAGCUGGGACCGGCGGGCCAUGCACAGUACUGCUUCAAUAAGAAGAUGCACCCCCAGCGCUCCAGCUCCAAACGGCAGACUGUAAACAUUUCUUUUUAUUUUUUUAAAACGUUGGAGUGUAAUUGCUUUGCAAUGUUGUGUUAGUUUCUGCUGUACAACAAUGUGAAUCAGCCGUGUGUACACACACAGCCCCUCCCUCUUGAGCCUCCCUCCUCUCCCCACCGUCCCACUCCUCCAGGUCAUCGCAGGGCACCGAGCUGGGCUCCCUGUGCUGUACAACAGCUUCCCGCUAGCUAUCUGGUACAAACAGCAGACUUUUUCAAAGCACUUCUGGAGCCCAGCCUAAUUCCAGGCUGAGGGCAGACAGGCUGUACGGGUUUUUAGGGUCAGGAGGACAGCCAGAGGCAAGGGGGGGACUUUGGCACUGCCUGUCUCCUCCCUGCCACCCCUGCGGCUGAGCUCUCUGCUCCAGCCCGCUCUGAGGCUGACCAUGGUCUCCCGAUGGCUCUCCUGCUCUGUCCCUCUGCAGGCCCACUGGCUGCUGGACUGGUAACCCAGGGAAACGAUAUAAAAAGCCUCAGACUCGUACCACCGUCUCUUUCUUUCUUUACUUGGGCUUGGAUGCAGAAGACAAACUCCCCACCUGGGCAUAAGUGAUGAGUCAUUCCUCAAAGGUCGGCAGGAAGAUUUAUCUACUGAGCAGCCAGUCUAGUCCCUGACCCACAUCGCCUCCCCCACCUCUGAUCCGGGCCUGAGACAGUUCCCU